rnacentral:rRNA from 1 species
GAUGAACGCUAGCGGCAGGCUUAAUACAUGCAAGUCGUGGGGCAGCAGGAAGUAGCAAUACUUUGCUGGCGACCGGCAAACGGGUGCGAAACACGUACGCAACUUUCCCUUUACUGGAAGAUAGCCCACCGAAAGGUGGAUUAAUACUCCAUAUUAUAACGAAACGGCAUCGUUUUAUUAUCAAAGCUCAGGCGGUAAAGGAUGGGCGUGCGGCUGAUUAGAUAGUUGGCGGGGGAACGGCCCACCAAGGCUACGAACAGUAGCUGAUGUGAGAGCAUGAUCAGCCACACGGGCACAGGGACACGGGCCCGACUCCUACGGGAGGCAGCAGUAAGGAAUAUUGGUCAAUGGACGCAAGUCUGAACCAGCCAUGCCGCGUGAAGGAUGAAGGUCCUCUGGAUUGUAAACUUCUCUUAGAUGGGAAGAAACACUUUCUUUCUAGAGAGCUUGACGGUACAAUAGGAAUAAGCACCGGCUAACUCCGUGCCAGCCGCCGCCGUAA